rnacentral:sRNA from 1 species
AGGCCGUCUUGGGGUGCAGGGCUCUCAGCAUGAUGGUUUGCCUCCUCCCGUGCCCCUGCCCUCCAUACCCUGCCCCCGGGCCUUCUUUCUGUUGGCAGUGCACAAGGACCACUAUGAGAACCUCUACUGCGUGGUCUCAGGAGAGAAGCAUUUCCUGUUCCAUCCGCCCAGCGACCGGCCCUUCAUCCCCUAUGAGCUGUACACGCCGGCAACCUACCAGCUAACUGAAGAGGGCACCUUUAAGGUGGUGGAUGAAGAGGCCAUGGAGAAGGUGCCCUGGAUCCCACUGGACCCCUUGGCGCCAGACCUAGCACGGUACCCUAGUUACAGUCAGGCCCAGGCCCUUCGCUGCACGGUGCGGGCCGGUGAGAUGCUCUGUCUGCCGGCUCUGUGGUUCCACCACGUCCAGCAGUCCCAGGGCUGCAUCGCAGUGAAUUUCUGGUAUGACAUGGAAUACGACCUCAAGUAUAGUUACUUCCAGCUGCUCGACUCCCUCACCAAGGCUUCAGGCCUUGACUGAUGGA